rnacentral:tRNA from 2 species
GCGUCAGUAGCUCAAUGGCAGAGUGCCCGGUUUCCGACCCGGGAGAUGCGGGUUCGACCCCCGUCUGGCGCU